CCUACGGGAGGCAGCAGUGGGGAAUUUUGGACAAUGGGCGAAAGCCUGAUCCAGCCAUUCCGCGUGCAGGACGAAGGCCUUCGGGUUGUAAACUGCUUUUGUACGGAACGAAAAGGUUUCAGCUAAUACCUGGGACUCAUGACGGUACCGUAAGAAUAAGCACCGGCUAACUACGUGCCAGCAGCCGCGGUAAUACGUAGGGUGCGAGCGUUAAUCGGAAUUACUGGGCGUAAAGCGUGCGCAGGCGGUCUUGUAAGACAGAUGUGAAAUCCCCGGGCUCAACCUGGGAACUGCAUUUGUGACUGCAAGGCUAGAGUGCGGCAGAGGGGGAUGGAAUUCCGCGUGUAGCAGUGAAAUGCGUAGAUAUGCGGAGGAACACCGAUGGCGAAGGCAAUCCCCUGGGCCUGCACUGACGCUCAUGCACGAAAGCGUGGGGAGCAAACAGGAUUAGAUACCCUGGUAGUCCACGCCCUAAACGGUGUCAACUGGUUGUUGGGUCUUCACUGACUCAGUAACGAAGCUAACGCGUGAAGUUGACCGCCUGGGGAGUACGGCCGCAAGGUUGAAACUCAAAGGAUUGACGG
rnacentral:rRNA from 1 species